rnacentral:rRNA from 1 species
GCAAGUCGAGCGAGAAAGGGGCUUCGGCCCUGAGUAAAGCGGCGCACGGGUGAGUAACACGUGGGUAAUCUGCCCUAGAGUGGGGAAUAACACCGGGAAACCGGUGCUAAUACCGCAUACGAUCACGAUGUCUUCGGGUGUUGUGAUGAAAGGAGCAAUUCGCUCUUGGAGGAGCCCGCGGCUGAUUAGCUAGUUGGUGAGGUAAUGGCUCACCAAGGCAACGAUCAGUAGCCGGUCUGAGAGGACGGUCGGCCACACUGGAACUGAGACACGGUCCAGACUCCUACGGGAGGCAGCAGUGGGGAAUUUUUCGCAAUGGGGGCAACCCUGACGAAGCAACGCCGCGUGGAUGAUGAAGUCUCUUGGGACGUAAAAUCCUUUCGACGGGGACGAAACCGCAAAGUUGACGGUACCCGUAGAAGGAGCCCCGGCUAACUCCGUGCCAGCAGCCGCGGUAAUACGGGGGGGGCAAGCGUUGUUCGGAAUUACUGGGCGUAAAGGGCGCGUAGGCGGUUCGCUAAGUUGAAUGUGAAAACUCUGGGCUUAACCCAGAGCCUGCAUUCAAUACUGGCGGGCUAGAGUUCUGGAGGGGAUAGCGGAAUUCCUGGUGUAGCGGUGAAAUGCGUAGAUAUCAGGAGGAACACCGGUGGCGAAGGCGGCUAUCUGGACAGAGUCUGACGCUGAGGCGCGAAAGCUAGGGGAGCAAACAGGAUUAGAUACCCUGGUAGUCCUAGCCCUAAACGAUGGAUACUUGCUGUGACUGGGAUUGAAUCCAGUCGUGGCGAAGCUAACGCAUUAAGUAUCCCGCC